GAGCACUCGAAAUUUGGCCUCAACAAUAAGAAAAUACCAAGAGGUGCUCUUUAUUCUGCUGGUGGGGUGCGACAAGAAGGGCACACGAAAUUUGGCCUCAACAAUAAGAAAAUACCAAGAGGAGAGAUGAGACAAGGAGGACUACCAUCCAAAUUUUGCCUCACCAAUCGGAAAACAUCAAGAGGUGGGGUGCGACAAGAAGGACAUUAGAAAUUCGGCCUCAACAAUCAGAAAACAGCAAGAGGUGGGAUGAGACAAGGAGCAGGGCAUCGAAAUUUCGCCUCAGCAAUCAGAAACGGGUUUUUGUACCUUGUUUUCAAUUUUCAGUGAAAAGAUAAUUGCUCCUAUUGAGAUGAAAUUAACCACACUUACUCAAAAAAAGUGGUCUUUAUUCUGCAGGUGGGAUGAGACAAGGAGGAGGACCUUCCAAACUUGACCUCACCAAUCGGGAAACAGCAAGAGGUGGGGUGCGACAAGAAGGACAUUAGAAAUUCGACCUCAACAAUCAGAAAACAGCAAGAGGUUAGUCUUACCUUCUUUUGAUUUGUUUUACUCAAAAAUUUCAAAGUGCUCCCAUUGAGAUGAAAUUAACCGCCAUUGCUCAGAAAAAAAAAAAGCUCUCUAUCGUGCAGGUGGGAUGAGACAAGGAGCAGGGCAUCGAAAUUUCGCCUCAGCAAUCAGAAACGGGUUUUUGUACCUUGUUUUCAAUUCAGUGAAAAGAUAAUUGCUCCUAUUGAGAUGAAAUUAACCACACAUACUCAGAAAAAUGUGCUCUUUAUUGUGCAGGUGGGGUGAGACACGAAGAAGGACCUUUGAAAGUUGGCCUUAGCAAUCAGAAAGUGUUACCUCUUGUAAAUUUUCAGUUAAAAAGUAGAAGUGCUCCUAUUGAGAUGAAAUUAACCACACUUACUAAAAAAAGUGGUCUGUAUUCUGCAGGUGGGAUGAGACAAGGAGGAGGACCUUCCAAACUUGACCUCAGCAAUCAGAAAACACCAAGAAGUGGGUCUUACCUUACUUUCAACUUUCGGUGAAAAGGUGGGAUGAGACAAGGAGGAGGACCUUCCAAACUUGACCUCAGCAAUCAGAAAACACCAAGAAGCGGGUCUUACCUUCCUUUCAACUUUCAGUGAAAAGAUAAGUGCUCCUAUUGAGAUGAAAUGAACCACACAUACUCAGAAAAUGUGCUCUUUAUUGUGCAGGUGGGAUGAGAUAAGGUGGAUCUUCGAGACUUGGCCUCGGCAAUCGCAAAACACCAGGUGGAAAAGGUGCUCAUCAUUUAGCAGGUGAGAUGAGACAAAGAGGACCACCUUCGAAAUUUUGCCUCACCAGUCGGAGAAAAGCAAGAGGUGGAACGAGACGAGUAGGACCACCGUCAAAACUUGGCUUCAGCAAUCAGAAAACACCAAGAGGUGGGUUGUGACGUGGAGAACUACCAUGGAAAUUUGGCUUCAGAAAACAAGAGUUGGGAUGGAACAGCAAGAACGACCGUGGAACUUAGGUAUCGGCGCACACUGCUACAGCGGACAGGAAAUUUGGCUACAGAAGACUCAGAAACGUUAUGCAGUUUCAACUUGUAAUUGUCAUUCUGUUGCAUUUAUGUAAUUAAAAUUUGCCUCU